rnacentral:lncRNA from 1 species
GUCUAAUUUUAGGAUUUUAGCUUGUUCUACUGUUAUAAACAUUUCUAUUUCAAAAAUGUAUUCAAAUUUGAAUGAUCAUAGUUUUAUAAAUACCAUAGAGGGCAAUUUUUGCUAAGUAUUAGUUAACAUUUUUUCAAAAAAGAUUUUCAAUUAAAGUCUUCCAAUUAAUCUUGAGUAUGUUCAUUCUUUUUGGAAGCAAAAUGCUUCACUAUGUCCAACUGAAAUUAACACAAACUCACAAGGCUUAGGAGUGAAGAGAAAAUUUGAAUUAGGUCAGGCUUAAAAGAAAAAAGGUCCUAGAACGUAGCAGAAUAUACUGCC